rnacentral:rRNA from 1 species
CAGGAUGAACGCUACGCGGCAGGCCUAAUACAUGCAAGUCGUACGGAUCUCCCCUCGGGGAGUGAGAGUGGCGCACGGGUGCGUAACGCGUAUGCAACCAACCCUCAGUCCGGGGGACAGCCGGUGGAAACGCCGGGUAAUACCCCCAUAUCCACUUUGGGAGGCAUCUUCUGAGGUGGAAAGACUUAGGUCGGAGGAGGACGGGCAUGCGUCCCAUUAGCUAGUCGGCGGGGUGACGGCCCACCGAGGCGACGAUGGGUAGGGGAUCUGAGAGGACGGUCCCCCACACUGGUACUGAGACACGGACCAGACUCCUACGGGAGGCAGCAGUAAGGAAUAUUGGUCAAUGGGCGAGAGCCUGAACCAGCCAAGUAGCGUGCAGGAAGAACCUGCCCUAUGGGUUGUAAACUGCUUUUAUCAGGGAAUAAAGUGCGGCACGUGUGCUGUUUUGUAUGUACCUGAUGAAUAAGGACCGGCUAAUUCCGUGCCAGCCGCUGC